UCGAGGGGCAGCGGGGGCGUAGCAAUAUGCCUGCCGGCGACCGGCGCUCGGGUGAGUAACACGUAUGUAACCUGCCCUAUGCAGGGGGAUAACCCGGAGAAAUCCGGCCUAAUACCGCGUAACACCUUUUGGGAGCAUUCCCGGGAGGUUAAAGGAGAGAUCCGGCAUAGGAUGGACAUGCGUCGCAUUAGGUAGACGGCGGGGUAACGGCCCACCGUGCCGACGAUGCGUAGGGGUUCUGAGAGGAAGGCCCCCCACACUGGUACUGAGACACGGACCAGACUCCUACGGGAGGCAGCAGUGAGGAAUAUUGGUCAAUGGCCGAGAGGCUGAACCAGCCAAGUCGCGUGAGGGAAGAAUGUCCUAAGGAUUGUAAACCUCUUUUGUCGGGGAGCAAAAAGGCUCUGCGGAGUCGUAUUGAGAGUACCCGAAGAAAAAGCAUCGGCUAACUCCGUGCCAGCAGCCGCGGUAAUACGGAGGAUGCGAGCGUUAUCCGGAUUUAUUGGGUUUAAAGGGUGCGCAGGCGGCGUGUCAAGCAAGCGGUAAAAUAGCGGGGCUCAACCCCGUCGAGCCGUUUGAACUGGCGCGCUUGAGUUCAGGCGAGGUAGGCGGAAUUCGUGGUGUAGCGGUGAAAUGCAUAGAUAUCACGAAGAACUCCGAUUGCGAAGGCAGCUUACCAGUCUGCGACUGACGCUCAGGCACGAAAGUGUGGGUAUCGAACAGGAUUAGAUACCCUGGUAGUCCACACAGUAAACGAUGAGCGCU
rnacentral:rRNA from 1 species